GAUGAACGCUGGCGGCGUGCCUAAUACAUGCAAGUCGAGCGAACGGACGAGAAGCUUGCUUUUCUGAUGUUAGCGGCGGACGGGUGAGUAACACGUGGAUAACCUACCUAUAAGACUGGGAUAACUUCGGGAAACCGGAGCUAAUACCGGAUAAUAUUUUGAACCGCAUGGUUCAAAAGUGAAAGACGGUCUUGCUGUCACUUAUAGAUGGAUCCGCGCUGCAUUAGCUAGUUGGUAAGGUAACGGCUUACCAAGGCAACGAUGCAUAGCCGACCUGAGAGGGUGAUCGGCCACACUGGAACUGAGACACGGUCCAGACUCCUACGGGAGGCAGCAGUAGGGAAUCUUCCGCAAUGGGCGAAAGCCUGACGGAGCAACGCCGCGUGAGUGAUGAAGGGCUUCGGAUCGUAAAACUCUGUUAUUAGGGAAGAACAUAUGUGUAAGUAACUGUGCACAUCUUGACGGUACCUAAUCAGAAAGCCACGGCUAACUACGU
rnacentral:rRNA from 1 species